UACGUAGGGUGCAAGCGUUACUCGGAAUUAUUGGGCGUAAAGCGCAUGUAGGUGGUUUUCUAAGUUUGAUGUGAAAUCCCUGGACUCAAUUCAGGAACUGCAUUGAAUACUGGAAGACUAGAGUAUGGGAGAGGUAGGCGGAAUUCCUGGUGUAGAGGUGAAAUUCGUAGAUAUCAGGAGGAACAACAGAGGCGAAGGCGGCUUACUGGACCAUAACUGACACUGAGAUGCGACAGUGUGGGGAGCAAACAGG
rnacentral:rRNA from 1 species